rnacentral:rRNA from 1 species
GGAGGUAGUGACAAUAAAUCUCAAUAAGAAGCCUUUGGUUUUGUAAUUGAAUUGAGAACAAUGUACAAUCGUUAUCGAUAAACAAUUGGAGGGCAAGUCUGGUGCCAGCAGCCGCGGUAAUUCCAGCUCCAAUAGCGUAUAUUAACGUUGUUGCAGUUAAAAAGCUCGUAGUUGAAGUUUAGAUAAUUUAUUGAAAGUGUUUGUAUUCGUACAUUCUACUUUUAUGUAAGUUAUCGACAUCCAGGUGGGUGCCUGAUUCCUUUCCUUCGGGGAUUAGGGUACUAGACUGGUCAUUUACUGUGAGAAAAUUAGAGUGUUUAAAGCGGACUGUUCAGUUUGAAUAAAUUAGCAUGGAAUAAUAAGAUUGGCUUUCAUAGUCGAUUUUUUGGUUUGUUUAUGAAAGCAAGAUUAAUAGGGACAGUUGGGGGUAUUCAUAUUCAAUAGCUAGAGGUGAAAUUCUAUGAUUUAUGGAAGAUGAACAAUGCUAAAAGCA